rnacentral:lncRNA from 1 species
UAUACAAAGCAGUAUUUCUUCCACCAUUGAGCAAAUACUUGUGUGAUAUAAUCCCCUCUCUAGGACUGCCAGAUCUAGCAAAUUAAACUACAGGACACUAGGUUAAAAUUUAAUUUCAGAUAGACAAUAAAUUUUUAAUAAAAACUAUGUCUCAUGCAAUUGUUGGGGACAUACUUAUACUAACAUUUAUUGUUUAUCUAAAUUUUAAACUUAACUGUGCAUUCUGGAUUUUAUCUGCCAAUCCUACCCCUUUGUGGUAGAAAGAUGAACUUGUUAACCACUCUAAAAAACAUCCAGUUACAGAUAUUUCAAGCUAGUACAGGCCAUAGAGAAAUUUCACCUCAGUAAUAGGACAUUUAUAGAUGCCUUAAGCUAUCAACUCCCCACCCCCAACCACUCCCCUGCCAUGUGGGUCUUGGCUGUUGAGAUUGGCUGAGGUGGCCUAUCCCAUCAGAAUGAGUUGUAGAAAAACACAACUGAGCCCCUGAUAGGAAACUCACCAUCAAUAUUGAUGGAAUCUGGGAGUUCCUGCUGUGGUGCAACAGGAUCUGUGUUGGCUCUGAACCACUGGGAUGGAGGUUCUGUUCCCUGGCCUGGGAACUCCAUGUGCCAUGAGGCAGUCAAAAAUGGAAGAAGAAAUAUAGAUAGAUAGAUAGAUAGAUAGAUAGAUAGAUAGAUAGAUAGAUAGAUAGAUGGAUGGAUAGAUAGAUAGAUGGAUAGAUGGAUGGAUGGAUGGAACCUGGUCUGAAGAUCUAACUCACCAACAAGGCCAAGCUGCAGAAGGGGGAUGGAUACAGAUUCUGGAUUGUCUUGACACCCCCCUCCUGGACUGUGUGAGUCCUCAGGAUCUUCACUAGUGACAGUGAGGGAUGAGUUUAGAAUAGUUCUCUGUUGGGGCUUCAGUUUGGUACUCAGCAACACAGGCAGGCUGCCACUAGCAGCCAAUUGGUGGUGGUCACGGUAACCCAAGACCUGGAGGUGAACUGUUGCAAGGCUGGUCCAGAAUUCUUCCCCUUUGUUCCCAUGCCCAGUUUUGUGCCCAAGUGCUCAUCCCCACUUCUUAUUUCCGUUGAGAGGAUUUGGCCAGGAAUUCCAGAUGAAGAAUACAACCAAGCUGCAUCUGCAUCAUACCUACACUGUGUGGCCAAACAAGCGAUGUAGAGGCCGAUGCUGAUUCCGAGCUCCUGCCAGUGAGCACACUGCCCUCCGUGUCCAGGAACCAUCAAUGCCAUCUACCUCCGUGUGUGAUUUGUGGAUGAGUUGUGUGCCUCUGGCCAAGAGAGCUCAUAAACUAAAGAUUAAUGAGAGGAAGAGGCAACCCAUUGGGGGCAAAACAUUAGUAAAGCAGGAAGGUCUUUUGCUUUUUGGAGCUGGAAUAACCAGGAGGAUUCGUCAUUGUUGCAGCUGACUUUGGUGUGUAGCCAAGCCAGAGGCACUGACUGCAAGCACAGUUGGCUCCAUCUCCCCCUCUGCCAACCCAGAGUCCCUGCAAUCCCACCACCACUGCACAAGUUGUUGCCAGACUGAGAAAGAAUAGUAGUUCUUCUUCUUCCUCCUUCUUUGCUAUUUUUAGAGGAAUUUGAAUAACAACCUAUUCUCCUCAUUUAUUAUUCUUGAUGAAUAGUAAAUUAUUCUAAUAGCAUUGACUGUUCUAUUCAUUUAUUAUUUGAGGAUGAUUAAAAGUGAAUAGCUAUUAUAAAGCCUCACUAGUUCCAAAAAUUAGACUUUAGAAUUUUGUGUUUCCUUUUGGCUCUGAGUAAUUACCUCUAUUGCUUCCUCUAAUUCUGUCACGUACACAUACCUCUUUCUUCUUUCCUACUCAUGGUCUGUUUUGACUCCAGAAUCAGGAAGCCCAGUACUUAAAAGUUUAUCCAGAGAGAUGAUGAAUGAGUCUCUGAAAUGUCUCCCACAGACAUGCAGUGUUUUAAAUUAUGUUUAGGUUCAAUAAGGUCUUAUAAAUUCCUCAGAACUGUUAUUAUUUAAGGGUAGAGAAUACUAAGACAUGGCUUGCAGAUGACAGCAGAGGUACAUGCCAGGAUAAAUCACAUUGCUAUUUAUAGAAUAGACUAUGAGGUUCUAGCCUGAGGUUGUAAAGAAGAUGUAGGGUGAAAAAAAGUAUUAUUUUUUUUUUGUAAUGAGUCUUGUUAUAUAACCCUCUUAUCUGGGCAUUUGAGGUCCUAAUAUAUCACCCUCAGCACUCUCCAGACAGUCUUCACCCAGUCAAAGUGGACCCAUUGUUUUUCCCCAAAUAUGAUGUCAGCUUUCCCACAAUCUAAAUAUUCCAUUCUUUUCAUGACUGGAAUAUCUUUGCGGCUUCUGCACACCAUCUUUACCUAUGAAAGAUGCUUCCAUCUUUACCUAUGAAAAUAUCAUCAUUCCAUGAAGGAUCGCUUUAAAGUUCUCCUGAGUCGCCUCAUCUUAAGAUGUCUUGUCCCUUCUAAAAUUCUGCCUCCUAUCUCUAAAGGGCUCAUUCACAACUGCUGACUGUCCUGUAUAAGGACAGAUCCUGGUUUUAUAGGGCUUCAUGCUUACAUAAUUGGGGGGAUCCUCUCCAUAAAAAAAGAAUAUUAAAAAAAAAUACAAAUGUAGUGGCUCAGUGGUAAUGAACCCAACUAGUAUCCAGGAGGAUGCAGGUUUGAUCCCUGGCCUCGCUCAGUGGCUUAAGGAUCCAGCAUUGCUGUGAGCUGUGGUGUAGGUCGAAGAUGUGGCUUGGAUCCCAUGUUGCUGUAGCUGCGGCUAUGGCUGGUAGCAACAGCUCCAAUUCGACCUCUAGCCUGGGAACUUCCAUAUGCCUCGGGUGCAGCCCUAAAAACAACAACAACAACAACAACAACAAAAAGAAAGAAAAUGUUUUGGGGUGAUCAGUGUAAACGGUGGAGUAAGGACCUCCCAAAACCCACUCCUUCAUAAGAGCAACAACAACAACAAAACUGGAAAAAUGGCAGAAUCAAGUUUUUUGAACUUUAGAAACUAGCUGAAAGCUUAGAACAAUUUGGGGAAAAGAACAUUGGCUCUGGGGUUCCCUUCAUGGCUCAGUGGUUAACGAACCUGACUAGGAUCCAUGAAGAUGCAGGUUCGAUCCCUGGCCUUGCUCAGUGGGUUAAGGAUCUGGCAUUGCCAUGAGCUGUGGUGUAGGCCAAAGAUGCAGCUCGGAUCCUGCGUUGCUGUGGCUGAGACACAGGCUAGCAGAUACAGCUCUGAUUCCACCCCUAGUCUGGGAACUUCCAUGUGCUGCAGAUGCAGCCCUAAAAAGCAAACAAAACAAAACAAAAAACAAUGAGCUUCAUGGUGUUUUAAUUUACUCUAGUCUCAUCCCAGCUCCCUCAUUGGUAGAUAUGGAAAUUAUAGCCCAUAUUCCCAGCACUUGUGCUGGAGGGAGAAGAAUAGAACUUAUUUGCAAAGAAUUGUUAUUUUUGUUUUGAUUAGUCUUGCUCAAAAGGUUUGUCUUUAUCUCACAUAAGAACAUGGCCAGUGCUAAAGCUGCUUUUGGAUGAUGGGUAGGUGUAGGAGGUUGAGGUUGGCAUACCGAUUCAAAACAUUUCCGGAUGAAUGUUUUAGUUGCUGUUGUCAGAGGCAAUACAUAACUGAUGGAAAAAACAAAAGACUAAUCAAAAAGCUUAGAAGGAAAGCCUAGGGAAAGAGAUGCUUAUUUAUUUAUUUAUUUUUGGAAUGAGAUGCUUUUAAAAUUAACAGCUUUAAAAGGCUAUGAAAUAUUUCUCACAAUGCCCAGGUCUGUAUGCAUGCUCAAGAAAGACUCAAGAAAAUCCUAAACUUUCACCUCUGGCUAAUCUUGAAGCUAUGUGCAAGAAAAAAGUGAAGGCUGAGGCAGAGUUAUAAACUUCCUAAAGAAGUAAUGAAUGCAUACCCCAGUAAACACAGAGACUCUCUGAAAAGAUGAAUUUUUUUUUAGAUUUGAAAUGUUUAAGGAAAUUUUUGUUCACUCAUUAGCUGACCACUAAGCAAAGGGAACAGAGAUACCAGUGGCAACACAUGAUAACACAGACUUUAAAAAAUCAAUAAAAUAAAAAUCACUAAACAAGCAACUACUAAGCUAAAAAACUACUACUGCAACAGAGCAACAAGUCUCAGGGAAGGGGCAGAAUCUGACUUCCAAAGUUACCUUAUUAUACUAUUCAAAAUGUCCAGCUUUCAUCAAAAAUUAUAAAGCACGCAAAGAAACACGAAAGUACAACCUAGAGAAAAAAAUAAAAAGCAAUUAAUAGAAACUUUCCCUGAGGAAGUACAGAUGUUGAAUUUAUUAGAUAAAGAUUUGCUAUUAUCUUUUUCAAGUAUCUCACAGAGCUAAAUGAAACAAUAUCUAAAUAAUCAAAGGAAGGCAUGCAAAUGAUGUUUCACCAAAUAGAGACUACCAAUAAAGAGACAUAAAUUAUUUAAAAAAAGAAAAGAACCAAAUAGAAAUCCUGGAGUUGAUAAGUACAGUAACUGAAAAAAGAGAUUCACUACGGCUUAACAGCAGAUUUGGGCAAUAGAAACAAUUAGCAAACUCGAAGAUAAAUCAAUUAGAUUUAUCUGGGGAAUCUUGAAAACAGCAUGACAGAAGUGACUCAUCACAUACAAGGAAAUUUCAAAAAAAAUUAACAUUUGAUUUUUUAUCAGAAGCUAUGGAAGUCAAACCCAAUGGAUGAAAUAUUCAAAAUGCUGAAAAGAAAACCUUUUGAUCAAAAAUUUUAUAUCUGGCAAAACUA